rnacentral:rRNA from 1 species
AGUAACGCGUAUGCAACCUACCUUUAACUGAGGGAUAGCCCAUAGAAAUGUGGAUUAAUACCUCAUAGCUCUUUUGGUCCGCAUGGACUUAAAAGAUAAAGCUCCGGCGGUUAAAGAUGGGCAUGCGUGACAUUAGCUAGUUGGUAAGGUAACGGCUUACCAAGGCUACGAUGUCUAGGGGUUCUGAGAGGAUGAUCCCCCACACUGGUACUGAGACACGGACCAG